AUUUCCAUUGCAGAGACGACCGGGAAGGAGGAGAAGAAGAGGACCGUACGUAAUCUCAUCGCCGGUCGACGGAGAUCCGCGAUCGGCCUCGCUCGCAGUUUUCGAUUCUUCGAUCGAGAGGGAACCGCGAGCGAAUUGCCGAGCGGAAGCGAACGUCGAAGAUGAGUCAAGACGAUAAAAGCAGAGGCUUGAUCGGCGACCCCCAGCAGAGCCCGAACUACUACGGAACGUUCCAAGGCGUAGCGAACUACUAUAACCCUCCUCCUCCUCCUCCGCAGCUGCAGCAGCAGCAGCUGUUCCCUCCGCCGGUCAUCGGGUUCCCCCACCCGGUUCCACCUCCGGGCUCCACCGGCAGUCCCCGGUUCUAUCCUUACGGUUAUCAAACCGUCGCGGGUUAUGCAAUUGUGGAGGGAACACCGGUUAGAGAGCAUCGCUUACCUUGCUGCGGUCUUGGUAUCGGCUGGUUCUUGUUCUUGAUUGGUUUCUUUCUCGGUGGCAUCCCCUGGUACAUUGGGACUUUUCUCCUUAUUUGUGCUUGCCCAGAUCGGCGAGAAAAGCCUGGAUAUGUUGCUUGUGCAAUAGCUCAACUUAGGAGAAUGCUCAGAACUUCAAGAAUUCUCUAGUUGGAUUUGCAUUAAGCCUUGAUCCCAUGCUUAGUGGAAGUUACUCCAAAAAAUCUGUUUCCUUCGCUUCGAUACAUAAGGAAUGUUACUUAACCAGCAUUAACAUGUGUUAUUGCAUUUUCAAUGGAGGUUCUGCAAGAGAGUAUUUCCUCCUCAGUCUACUAGUUCUAGGCACCAACUUCAACUCAGCCGGAAACUGAGGAACUUGAUUGUUCUAGCUGCAUGGGCUGAUAAUGACACCCAGUAAUUGCCUAGCCAAGAAAUAUCAGUAUCGAAAGUUAUAAUUUACUUUAAGUAAACUAAUUGUGCUGAUGAAUAAUUGGAGAAAAUAUUAAUCCCUUUGGUAGACUAUUUGCUCAUUAUGGUUCAUGCUUGGCAUUCCCUCGAGAAAAAAAUUGAUACCAU